GGAGGCAACCGGGGGAACUGAAACAUCUAAGUACCCCGAGGAGGAGAAAUCAACCGAGAUCCCGGGAGUAGCGGCGAGCGAAACCGGGCCAGCCCAAACCCGUGCACGCGGAUAAGCGUAGGGGCGUUGCUGCACGGGGGUCGCGGGGAGCGACGUCCCAGGGCCCUAUCCCUGGGCUGCAGUCAGAAAGCUUUGUCGUAGCGGAACGGCCUGGGAAGGCCGGCGGAACAGGGUGAGAGCCCCGUACGCGGAACGGCAGGGCCUGCAGGACCGCUUUCCCGAGUAAGUCCGGGCACGUGAAACCCGGACUGAAGCAGGGGGGACCGCCCUCCAAGGCUGAACACUCUCCGAUGACCGAUAGCGAACCAGUACCGCGAGGGAAAGGUGAAAAGCACCCCGAGAGGGGAGUGAAACAGCGCCUGAAACCGUGCGCCCACAAGCAGUCGGAGCACCUUCUACGGUGUGACGGCGUGCCUUUUGUAGAAUGAGCCUGCGAGUCGCGGCAUGCGGCGAGGUUAAGGGACACCGAGCCGCAGCGAGAGCGAGUCUUAACAGGGCGUGCAGUCGCAUGCCGCGGACGCGAAGCCGGGUGAGCUAUCCAUGGGCAGGGUGAAGCAGGGGUAAGACCCUGUGGAGGCCCGAACCCACUUCGGUUGAAAACGGAGGGGACGACCCGUGGAUAGGGGUGAAAGGCCAAUCAAACCCGGAGAUAUCUCGUUCUCCCCGAAAUAGCUUUAGGGCUAGCCCCGCGCGUUCAGCGGCGGAGGUAGAGCACCGGACCGGCGAGGGGGCGUCGCUGCCUACCGACCCGGACCGAACUCCGAAUGCCGCCGCUUCAGAGCGCGGGAGUCAGAAGGCGUGGGCUAAGCUGCGCCUUCGAGAGGGAAACAGCCCAGACCGCCCGCUAAGGCCCCCAAGUCAUCGCUGAGUGGCAAAGGAUGUGCGUCCGCCCAGACAACCAGGAUGUUGGCUUAGAAGCAGCCAUGCAUUCAAAGAGUGCGUAACAGCUCACUGGUCGAGUGGACAUGCGCCGACAAUUCACGGGGCUAAGCGAUGCGCCGAAGCGGCGGGCCAGUCUUCACGACUGGCGGUAGGGGAGCUUUCCGCGCAGGGGCGAAGCCGGCGGGCGACCUCCGGUGGACCGCGCGGAAGUGAGGAUGCAGGCAUGAGUAGCGAGAGAGGGGCGAGAAACCCCUCCGCCGUAAGCCUAAGGUUUCCUGGGCGAGGCUAAUCCCCCCAGGGUCAGUCGGGAGCUAAGGCGAGGCCGGAAGGCGUAGCCGAUGCGCAGCGGGCGGACAUUCCCGCACCUCCGGCAUGACGUUACCACCGACGGGGCGACGGGGAAGGGUAGCCGGGCGGGGUUCUGGACGUCCCCGUGAAAGCGCGUAGGGCGAAGGCCAGGGAAAUCCGGCCUUCAUGCAGCCCGAGACGCGAGACGAAGCUAUGAGCGAAGCCGGCGAGCCCAUGCCUCCUAGAAAAACCCCUAGGGAGGAAUGUCGGAGCCCGUACCAAAACCGACACAGGUGGGCGGGUAGAGUAUACCGAGGCGAUCGGGGGAACCAUGGUCAAGGAACUCGGCACAAUGGCCCCGUAACUUAGGGAGAAGGGGCGCCCCCGCCGGUGAAGGGCCCAGCGCCCGGAGCGGGAGGGGGCCGCAGCGAAACGGCCCAAGCGACUGUUUAUCAAAAACACAGGACUCUGCGAAGCGGUAACGCGAAGUAUAGGGUCUGACGCCUGCCCGGUGCCGGAAGGUCACGGGGAUCCGUCAGCGAGAGCGAAGCGGUGAACCCAAGCCCCGGUAAACGGCGGCCGUAACUAUAACGGUCCUAAGGUAGCGAAAUUCCUUGUCGGGUAAGUUCCGACCUGCACGAAUGGCGUAACGACUUGGGCGCUGUCUCGACCAUGGACCCGGUGAAAUUGUACUAUUCGUGAAGAUGCGAAUUACCCGCGGAAGGACGGAAAGACCCCGUGAACCUUUACUGCAGCUUGGCAUUGGACGCAGGUGCGUCGCGUAGAGGAUAGGCAGGAGCCCGCGAAGCGGGGGCGCAAGCCCCCGUGGAGGCGCCCUUGGAAUACUGCCCUCGGCGUACCGGCGUCCUAACCCCCGGCCGUCAUCCGGCGGGGGGACCGUGCCAGGCGGGUAGUUUGACUGGGGCGGUCGCCUCCUAAAAGGUAACGGAGGCGCGCGCAAGGUAUGCUCGGGACGGUCGGCAACCGUCCUCUGAGCGCAAGAGUACAAGCAUGCCUGACUGCGAG
rnacentral:rRNA from 1 species